GCUGCCCUGUAGCAUAUGGAGUUCCCAGGCCUGGGAUCAGAUCAGAGCCGCAGUUGUAGCCUACACCUGAGUCCAGGGAUUGAACUAUGCUGGGCCAGGGAUUGAACCUGAGUCUCAGUGCUAUAGAGCAGUUGCCAAUUCUGUUGCACCAGAGCAGGAACUCCUCUCUAUGAAUUUCUUUACAAAGAAAAUGUAGAAAAUUUAAUUGAAAUAAUGCUGGUCUUUGAUGCUGACAUUUACAAAAGAGAAAAAUACAGAAAUAAUGUAUUCAUAGACAGUCUCAGAAUACCCACAGCGGAUGCAUUGUUUUCUCAGGUUGCAUAACUACUUUGAAAGAUUUAUUUUCUGUGUCAUCAAUGCAGAAUUUUUGGCACUACCAGGAUACUUCACCAUUUGGCCCUGCAGACUCCAAGCAAGCCUGGAGUGUGCCAAUUGGUUGGUGGGUUUUCAAAACCCUUGUGAUCUCUGCUGAGUUACCCCACUAGCCUUAGAAGAGUCUAAUCCACAUGUCACAUUCCAGCUGUUUGCUUAUUUGUUUUUAAUCUCAAUCUAGUUUAGUUGGAAUAAGGUGAGUCAGCUUGCAUGCAUGUCAGCUGACAUUUGUGUCAUGGAAACUGAUUAAAGGGAUUGGACUUGAAAUUGAAAAGAUAAGAAUGCGAUUUAAUGGGCCUUGUAUGAACUGUGUUUUGUUUUUGUUCUUCCCUCCCCUUCUUCCCAUGUAAACAAAUUCCUUGAAUUUUAAACUAAGAAUCUUAAUCUUCAGCACUUAAAGAGCCUUUCUUCUGUGAGGCACAGAUUGAUUUGGGAGGUAGGCAGUAUCUGAUCUCCAGAAUGGAUCUCUCAUCAUUAUCAUUAUCAUCAUCAGGAUAGCACUUACUAUGUGCCAGCUAGUAGCCAAAGUGCUUCCAUAUAUGACUUCAUUUCAUCAUGGAACCUCCCCUAUGGAUCUGGUACUGUGCUUUUUUUGCCGUUUUAUUAUGAGGAAAUAGACACCAAGGUUUAAAUGACUUUUCUGGAAACAUUAAGCUAAGAAGGGGCACAGACAAGAUGCAGAUACAGACACAGUCACAGACACAAAAAAGCUAACAAUAGACACCCUCUAUACUACCCCACAACAUGAACUACAAGUAUGAAAUUGUCCAUUCACUCAACAAGGUGAAAAUAAUAGUACUUUUGGAGGCGGAGCAAGAUGGUGGAGGAGUAAGAGGUCACUGCACACCUUCUCCCACAAACACAUCAAAAAAACACAUCUGCCUGUAAAACUACUCACACAGAUCAUGAACUGAAUGCUGGCAGAAGAACUUAAACCUCCAAAAAGGGCAAGAAACUCUUGACACAACUGGGUAGAAUGCAAAAAAAAGAGAAAGAAAAGCAAUCAGGAAGGGACUAGCACUCCCUAGAGGGAGUCCUGAAGGAGAAAAGGAACCUACCUCCUAGGAAGCCACCUAACUGAUGAAAGAUCAGCUGAGUUGACAGGACCUCAAAGUCGCCGAGAAAAGUACAGCAGCUGGACUGAGAACAGCAAAGCAGAGUGAGACUUGCACAGACCAUCUGAACCAUGGGCCCAGACACCACAGCCUGAGAUGUUUGGGUGGGGGCUGGGCGCUGAGACUCGGGCUCCAGAAAUCAGUUCCAGGGAGAGAACUGGGGAUGGCAUGAGGGGCUAAGGAGCAGGGCACCACGCCCACUUAGGAGGGGAAUGCCACAGCAGAGGGAACCCAAGAGAAGGUCCAGAACCACAGGAGAGGCAAGUUGCCAUUGUUGGGGGGGGCGGGGGGGGCCGGCAUAGGAGUUUCCUGCUCCUCCAGAGCAUGCACAUGCCUGCAGGCUUAGAGGGCAGGGGUGGCUCUACAGAGGCUAGGGUGUGGAGAAGCCUCUUGCUCGUUCAAGGGAGAUUAGGCACUUCUUGUGCAGGCUACUGGUGGCCAGGCACCUUUUGUCUGGGCUAAGGGCAUAAGGGUGCUAAGUGCCGAUGUGGUGCCUCUUGCCCAAUCUAUAAGUAGGAGGGACAGACUGCAGCAGUCAUCUCAGAAGCCAGAGGGAGGCAUGGCCUGCCACCACUGGGGACCUGUGAGUGGGCUCCACCAGCAACCCCAGUCACAUCAGGGGUUGCCAAAAACGAAAAAGAGAGGGCAUUGCAACCAAGCACCAUACGCUGUUGCUCUCACUCCCCUGGGAACACACCCACUCUGCAGCUGCCACUGCCAAACACUCUGGGUAACACCCAGACACUUGGUCACUGUCCCUUCCCAAGACCCUACAACUGGAAGCAGCUGGUGCAGCACGUCCUAUGUGGGUUAAGUGGGACAGGGUGCUACUUGCAUGGUCUACAGGUGGCAGGGGCAAACCACCACAGUUAUCCCUGAACCAGAGGAGGGCGUGGCCCACUGCCAUUGGAGAUAUCUGAACAAAAAUCACUUGCAGACCCAUUCACCUAAAGGGCACCACUGAGGAGGGCAUUGUGACUGAACACCAUCUAUUGGUGCUCUCGCACCCCCAGGAACACACCCGCCCUGCUGCUGCCACUGCCAAACAUUCCAGACAGUACCCACAUGCCUGAUCUCUGUCACUGUCCAGGAACCUGCAACUAGGAGCACCCUUUACAACACCUCAUAUGUGGGCUAAGUGAGAUGGGUUGCUUCAUGCAUGGUCUACAGGUGGCAGGGGCAAACCAUCACAGUUAUCACUGAAUCUAGAGAUGGUCGUGGUCUGCUCCCAAUAGGGGUCCCUGAACAGGCACCACCUGCAGUUCCAAUCACCUCAGAGGAGGGUAUUGCAAUCAAACACAAACUGUGGUUUAUCUCACUCCCCUGGGAACUCACACACCCUGCUGUUACUACUGCCAAAUGCUCUGGUAACCUUGAAGGUCUGCCUAGAGCUCAUUCCCACCUCCCAGGGCCCUGCAACUAGGAGUAGCCUGUGCCUCCUUUCUGCAGGUCCUUACUGCUAUUGAGAGCCCAAUGACCAGGCACUGACUGCUGGCCCUACACACUUCUUCCUUCUCCCUGAAAAUACACUGAGCAUCCUGGGAACAACAGCCUGCUCACACCAAAGAGAUGGCAAAUAUUCAAACUCCCAUACCAAAAAUAAAUAGUAACCUCCCAAAAAAUACAGAGGGGUAUUCUUUCUUAGAAGUAGCCUUACAAGACUACAGUUUGGCUUCCCAAAAUUAAAGAAAAAGAAAAACACAAGCAAGAUGAAGAAGCACAGAAACCAUUCCCAGCUAAAGCAACAGGAGAAUUCACCUAAAGCAGUCAACAAUGAAACAGACAUUUGCAGUCUGAUAGUCAUUGAGUACAAAAGGGAAGUAUUGAAAAUACUGAGGAAAUUAAGAGUGAAUAUGAACAAUACUGCAGAUUCCUUUAGAAAGGAACUAGAAAAUAUAAGGAGGAGCCAAGGAAAACUAGAAAAUUCAUUUGCAGA
ensembl:lncRNA